rnacentral:rRNA from 1 species
UACGGAGGGUGCGAGCGUUGUCCGGAAUCACUGGGCGUAAAGCGCACGUAGGCGGACUCUUAAGUCGGUGGUGAAAUCCUGGAGCUCAACUCCAGAACUGCCUUCGAUACUGGGAGUCUCGAGUUCGGGAGAGGUGAGUGGAACUGCGAGUGUAGAGGUGAAAUUCGUAGAUAUUCGCAAGAACACCAGUGGCGAAGGCGGCUCACCUGGCC